rnacentral:rRNA from 1 species
UACAGAGGGGGCAAGCGUUGUUCGGAAUUACUGGGCGUAAAGGGCGCGUAGGCGGCCUUCUAAGUCGAACGUGAAAUCCCUGGGCUCAACCCAGGAACUGCGUCCGAUACUGGAAGGCUUGAAUCCGGGAGAGGGAUGCGGAAUUCCAGGUGUAGCGGUGAAAUGCGUAGAUAUCUGGAGGAACACCAACGGCGAAGGCAGCUCGCUGGGACGGUACUGACGCUGAGGCGCGAAAGCGUGGGGAGCAAACAGG